UACAGAGGGUGCGAGCGUUAAUCGGAAUUACUGGGCGUAAAGCGUGCGUAGACGGUUAUUUAAGUCGGAUGUGAAAGCCCCGGGCUCAACCUGGGAAUUGCAUUCGAGACUGAAUAGCUAGGGUACGGUAGAGGGAAGCGGAAUUUCCGGUGUAGCGGUGAAAUGCGUAGAUAUCGGAAGGAACAUCAGUGGCGAAAGCGGCUCCCUGGACCAGUACCGACGUUCAGGCACGAAAGCGUGGGGAGCAAACAGG
rnacentral:rRNA from 1 species